rnacentral:rRNA from 1 species
CCUACGGGAGGCAGCAGUGAGGAAUAUUGCACAAUGGGGGAAACCCUGAUGCAGCGACGCCGCGUGAGUGAAGAAGUAUUUCGGUAUGUAAAGCUCUAUCAGCAGGAACGAGACAAGACGGUACCUGACUAAGAAGCCCCGGCUAACUACGUGCCAGCAGCCGCGGUAAUACGUAGGGGGCAAGCGUUAUCCGGAAUCACUGGGUGGAAAGGGAGCGUAGACGGCUGAGCAAGCCUGAAGUGAAAGGCGGGGGCCCAACCCCCGGACUGCUUUGGGAACUGUACGGCUGGAGUGCAGGAGAGGUAAGUGGAAUUCCUAGUGUAGCGGUGAAAUGCGUAGAUAUUAGGAGGAACACCAGUGGCGAAGGCGGCUUACUGGACUGUAACUGACGUUGAGGCUCGAAAGCGUGGGGAGCAAACAGGAUUAGAUACCCGUGUAGUC